GACGAACGCUGGCGGCGUGCUUAACACAUGCAAGUCGAACGGAAAGGCCCUGCUUUUGUGGGGUGCUCGAGUGGCGAACGGGUGAGUAACACGUGAGUAACCUGCCCUUGACUUUGGGAUAACUUCAGGAAACUGGGGCGAAUACCGGAUAGGAGCUCCUGCUGCAGGGGGGGGGUUGGAAAGUUUCGGCGGUUGGGGAUGGACGCGCGGCUUAUCAGCUUGUUGGUGGGGUAGUGGCUUACCACGGCUUUGACGGGUAGCCGGCCUGAGAGGGUGACCGGCCACAUUGGGACUGCGAUACGGCCCAGACUCCUACGGGAGGCAGCAGUGGGGAAUAUUGCACAAUGGGCGGAAGCCUGAUGCAGCAACGCCGCGUGCGGGAUGACGGCCUUCGGGUUGUAAACCGCUUUCGCCUGUGACGAAGCGUGAGUGACGGUAAUGGGUAAAGAAGCACCGGCUAACUACGUG
rnacentral:rRNA from 1 species